rnacentral:rRNA from 1 species
CCUGCAUGAAGUCGGAAUUGCUAGUAAUCGCGGAUCAGCAUGCCGCGGUGAAUACGUUCCCGGGCCUUGUACACACCGCCCGUCACACCAUGAGAGCCGGGAACACCCGAAGUCCAUAGUCUAACCAUUAAGGAGGACGCGGCCGAAGAUGGGUUUGGUAAUUGGGGUGAAGUCGUAACAAGGUAUC